rnacentral:rRNA from 1 species
ACUCCUACGGGAGGCAGCAGUGGGGAAUAUUGCACAAUGGGGAAACCCGUGAUGCAGCCAUGCCGCGUGUGUGAAGAAGGCCUUAGGUCGUAAAGCUCUUUCGCCAGGGAUGAUAAUGACAGUACCUGGUAAAGAAACCCCGGCUAACUCCGUGCCAGCAGCCGCGGUAAUACGGAGGGGUUAGCGUUGUUCGGAAUUACUGGGGCGUAAAGCGUACGUAGGCGGAUCAGAAAGUUGGGGGUGAAAUCCCGGGGCUCAACCCCGGAACUGCCUCCAAAACUCCUGGUCUUGAGUUCGAGAGAGGUGAGUGGAAUUCCAAGUGUAGAGGUGAAAUUCGUAGAUAUUUGGAGGAACACCAGUGGCGAAGGCGGCUCACUGGCUCGAUACUGACGCUGAGGUACGAAAGUGUGGGAGCAAACAGGAUUAGAUACCCUGGUAACACAGAG